UACGUAGGGGGCUAGCGUUGUCCGGAUUUAUUGGGCGUAAAGAGCGUGUAGGCGGCCAGGUAGGUCUGGUGUGAAAACUCGAGGCUUAACCUCGAGAUGUCAUCGGAAACCAUCUGGCUAGAGUCCGGAAGAGGAGAGUGGAAUUCCUAGUGUAGCGGUGAAAUGCGCAGAUAUCAGGAAGAACACCAAUGGCGAAGGCAGCUCUCUGGGACGGUACUGACGCUGAGACGCGAAAGCGUGGGGAGCGAACAGG
rnacentral:rRNA from 1 species